rnacentral:rRNA from 1 species
CCUACGGGCGGCAGCAGUGAGGAAUAUUGGUCAAUGGACGAGAGUCUGAACCAGCCAAGUAGCGUGAAGGAUGACUGCCCUAUGGGUUGUAAACUUCUUUUAUAAAGGAAUAAAACGAGGCACGUGUGCCUUUUUGCAUGUACUUUAUGAAUAAGGAUCGGCUAACUCCGUGCCAGCAGCCGCGGUAAUACGGAGGAUCCGAGCGUUAUCAGGAUUUCUUGGGUUUAAAGGGAGCGUAGAUGGGUUGUUAAGUCAGUUGUGAAAGUUUGCGGCUCAACCGUAAAAUUGCAAUUGAUACUGGCAGUCUUGAGUACAGUUGAGGUAGGCGGAAUUCGUGGUGUAGCGGUGAAAUGCUUAGAUAUCACGAAGAACCCCGAUUGCGAAGGCAGCUUACUAAACUGUGACUGACAUUGAUGCUCGAAAGUGUGGGUAUCAAACAGGAUUAGAUACCCCAGUAGUC